GGAGAUUCCGCUCGAUGCCUUCCAUCAGGUUUUCAAAGCAGAGAUGCAUGGCCUGCUGCUUCUCUGGCGGCUGGCUGUUGACGAUACUGUUCCUUAGGUCAGAAAAAUACUGUGGGGACAAGGAUGGAAACAAGGGUACCAGGGAUCGAACUCAUGACUGCACGCUUACAAGGCAGGCGUUUAUGCCACUGAGCUAAAUCCCCAGCCCCAAUUCUUGAUGUUUUUUUCUCCAGGGGAUGAAAGGAAUGGAGACACAUGAAGGAUAGGUGGGAAACACCUCCAGGGACAAACUGCAGAUACAGCACCAUGACUUCAUUUCUUUCCCUGUAUCCCUCGCCCCCUAAGAAAGCACAGUGGAAAACCUGAGUGAAUGCUGAACAAGUAAGAAUGACGUUA